CUACGGGAGGCUGCAGUGGGGAAUCUUAGACAAUGGGGGAAACCCUGAUCUAGCCAUGCCGCGUGAGCGACGACGGCCCUAGGGCUGUAAAGCUCUUUCAGCAGGGAAGAUAAUGACGGUACCUGCAGAAGAAGUCCCGGCUAACUCCGUGCCAGCAGCCGCGGUACUACGGAGGGGACUAGCGUUGUUCGGAAUUACUGGGCGUAAAGCGCGCGUAGGCGGAUUGUUAAGUCGGGGGUGAAAUCCCGGGGCUCAACCCCGGAACUGCCCUCGAUACUGGCAGUCUUGAGUUCGAGAGAGGUGAGUGGAAUUCCGAGUGUAGAGGUGAAAUUCGUAGAUAUUCGGAGGAACACCAGUGGCGAAGGCGGCUCACUGGCUCGAUACUGACGCUGAGGUGCGAAAGCGUGGGGAGCAAACAGGAUUAGAUACCCUCGUAGUC
rnacentral:rRNA from 1 species